AACGAACGCUGGCGGCGUGGAUAAGACAUGCAAGUCGAACGGGAUAACAUCUGUAGCAAUACAGGUGUUAUUUAGUGGCGAACGGGUGCGUAACACGUGGGCAAUCUGCCGAGAAGUGGGGGGAUAGCUCGCCGAAAGGCGAAUUAAUACCGCAUAUGAUCAGGGAAGACAUCUUUCCGACAUCAAAGCCGGGGCAACCUGGCGCUUCUUGAGGAGCCCGCGGCCUAUCAGCUAGUUGGUGAGGUAACGGCUCACCAAGGCUAUGACGGGUAGCUGGUCUGAGAGGACGACCAGUCACACUGGAACUGAGACACGGUCCAGACACCUACGGGUGGCAGCAGUCGAGAAUUUUUCNCAAUGGGGCAACCCUGAAGGAGCGACGCCGCGUGGAGGAUGAAGG
rnacentral:rRNA from 1 species